rnacentral:rRNA from 1 species
AUUGAACGCUGGCGGCAGGCCUAACACAUGCAAGUCGAGCGGAGCGGCGGACGGGUGAGUAAUGCCUAGGAAUCUGCCUGGUAGUGGGGGAUAACGUCCGGAAACGGGCGCUAAUACCGCAUACUAUCAGAUGAGCCUAGGUGGGAUUAGCUAGUUGGGGGGGUAAAGGCCUACCAAGGCGACGAUGCGUAGCUGGUCUGAGAGGGUGAUCAGUCACACUGUAACUGAGACAGGGGCGAGACUCCUACGGGAGGAAGCAGUGGGGAAUAUUGGACGAUGGGCGAAAGCCUGAUACAGCCAUGGCGAGUGUGUGAAGAAGGUCUUCGGAUUGUAAAGCACUUUAAGUUGGGAGGCGUUACCAACAGAAUAAGCACCGGCUAACUUCGUGCCAGCAGCCGCGGUAAUAC